GUCUCACGCCGGAGUCGAACCUGGGCCGCCUGGGUGAGAGCCAGGAACCUGACCGCUAGACCACAUAAUA
rnacentral:tRNA from 13 species